rnacentral:rRNA from 1 species
UACGUAGGGCGCAAGCGUUAUCCGGAAUUAUUGGGCGUAAAGAGCUCGUAGGCGGCUUUUUAAGUCCGCCGUCAAAUCCCAGGGCUCAACCCUGGACAGGCGGUGGAAACUACCAAGCUGGAGUACGGUAGGGGCAGAGGGAAUUUCCGGUGGAGCGGUGAAAUGCGUAGAGAUCGGAAAGAACACCAACGGCGAAAGCAACUCUGCUGGGCCGACACUGACACUGAGAGACGAAAGCUAGGGGAGCGAAUGGG